UCUCGGUGAUGAGCAAAGAAAAUAUAGAUGACGAGUCCGAUUUAUCCAUUCAAAAUACCAUGAGGACGAAUCGAGGCAUUUGUCUGAGAGAU